rnacentral:rRNA from 1 species
CGACCGGCGCACGGGUGAGUAACGCGUAUGCAACCUGCCCGAUACCGGGGUAUAGCCCAUGGAAACGUGGAUUAACACCCCAUAGUACUUUUAUCCUGCAUGGGAUGUGAGUUAAAUGUUCAAGGUAUCGGAUGGGCAUGCGUCCUAUUAGUUAGUUGGCGGGGUAACAGCCCACCAAGACGAUGAUAGGCAGGGGUUCUGAGAGGAAGGUCCCCCACAUUGGAACUGAGACACGGUCCAA